rnacentral:rRNA from 1 species
GGAAUUUUGGACAAUGGGCGCAAGCCUGAUCCAGCCAUGCCGCGUGAGUGAAGAAGGCCUUCGGGUUGUAAAGCCCUUUCGACGGGGACGAUGAUGACGGUACCCGGCGAAGAAGCACCGGCUAACCCCGUGCCACCCGCCGCGGUAAGACGGAGGGUGCUAGCGUUGUUCGGAAUCACUGGGCGUAAAGGGCGCGUAGGCGGCCCAUGCCGUCGGCUCGUGAAAGCCCGGGGCUCAACCCCGGAGGUGCGGCCGAUACACAUGGGCUGGAGGCCGGAAGAGGAGGGUGGAAUACCCAGUGUAGAGGUGAAAUUCGUAGAUAUUGGGUGGAACACCGGUGGCGAAAGCGGCUCUCUGGUCCGGUCCUGACGCUGAGGCGCGAAAGCGUGGGGAGCAAAC